UACGUAGGUGGCAAGCGUUGUCCGGAUUUAUUGGGUUUAAAGGGUGCGUAGGCGGUUCCAUAAGUCAGUGGUGAAAUACAAUAGCUUAACUAUUGAGGUGCCAUUGAUACUGCGGAACUUGAGUACAGACGAGGUAGGCGGAAUUGACGGUGUAGCGGUGAAAUGCUUAGAUAUCGUCAAGAACACCGAUAGCGAAGGCAGCUUACUAGACUGUAACUGACGCUGAGGCACGAAAGCGUGGGGAUCAAACAGG
rnacentral:rRNA from 1 species